GACGUAGGGCGCGAGCGUUGUCCGGAUUUACUGGGCGUAAAGAGCGCGCAGGCGGCUGGUCAAGUCCGAUGUGAAAGCUCCCGGCUUAACUGGGAAAUUGCAUCGGAAACUGAUCGGCUGGAAGGUGGGAGAGGGUAGCGGAAUUCCCGGUGUAGUGGUGAAAUGCGUAGAUAUCGGGAGGAACACCAGUGGCGAAGGCGGAUCUCUGGGCCAUUACUGACGCUGAGGAGCGAAAGCGUGGGGAGCGAACAGG
rnacentral:rRNA from 1 species